rnacentral:rRNA from 1 species
GACGAACCGUGCGAACGUUAUUCGGAAUCACUGGGCUUAAAGCGCGUGUAGGCGGAUGGGAACGUCGGUAGUUGAAAGCCCCCGGCUCAACCGGGGAAGUGGUGCCGAAACGACCCGUCUGGAGGGACGUAGGGGGACCUGGAACUUCCGGUGGAGCGGUGAAAUGCGUUGAGAUCGGAAGGAACGCCCGUGGCGAAAGCGAGGUCCUGGACGGUGACUGACGCUGAGGCGCGAAAGCGUGGGGAGCAAACGGG